rnacentral:lncRNA from 1 species
GAGACAAUGGCCUGAAGAGAAAGCCCCAGUCACCCCAGGGGAGGCAGGGAAGCAUCUACCUCUGGCUCUAUCUCUAGCAUCAUUCUUUCUCUCUGGGUCUCUGAGUUCUUAGGUCAGGGAUGGUGUCUCUCUUGCUAAUAGCCCUGUCUCCAGAAGCACACAGGCUUGGCACACACUCCGCGGAAACCAUAGCAACGGGCAGCCGGAAGAUGCGGCCAUUCCUCUCCCUUUUGUCCAUUGCAUUUCAGCAGCGCCCGCGCACAUGGACGCUCCAAUUACAGGUACUUGGGAGGGGACGCCUUUGUCCGCGGCCCAUUCACGGCGGAGCCGGCUCCGGGCGGAGAAGCUGUCGGGCGCUGUCGCACAAAGCGAUUUUGUGCCUCCUCCCGGCGCCUUCCUCCACUCCCUGCCGCGUUCAAGGACAAACAAGGACCUCCAAAUUCGUGUUCAAACGCCCCGCGUGCUCUAGAGGCUAGAAAUUGGCAGUCAGGAUGUGUGUAAGGCCACGCUCCCUCUGAAGACUCCAGGGGAGGAUCUUUCCUUGCCUCCUCCAGCUUCUGGUGGCUGCCAGCAUCCUUGGCAUUCCUUGGCCUGUGGACACAUCACUCUCAUCUCUGCCCAUGGUCACAACCCCAAGCUCCAGAAUACAGACCAGCAGGCGAGGAGACAAGGAGGCAAGCAGAUGGAUGGUGGAACAAAGUGGCAGAGAAAGAGAGAAGAGGAGAGAUGUCUGGACGCCAAGAGGAGUCUGGCUGGGGCCAGUCAGAGAAGAGUCCAGCGGCUGGGCAGCCCGACUCCAGGGGAAGAUCACCUUCCCACUCCAUCCCCCUUCACGCUCCCCAUCCAUCUCACUAAGAGCCAUCUCUACCACUCAAUAAAACCUUGCAUUCAUCCUUCAA